rnacentral:lncRNA from 1 species
AAAAGGGCAUUGCUGCCCUCGAUGAGGGGGUGGGAACCCCCCAGAACAGCCCAGAGAACCCUACAAACACCCGCACAGAGUCCAAAGCAGCCCCCCCUUCCCCCUCCCAUACACACACUCUCCCCAUGGAACAAUCAGGCACAGAGCCAGCUUUGGUCUCAAGUCCUUUAUUCAGACUGAACUCAGGGACAUUUGCAGCCCGGGGACAUUUCCAGCUAUCUUCUCCUUACAUGGGCUUGGGGGGAGGCCGUGGGGCUGCACCCGCUGGCCUGAAGCGGGGCGGGGGGGUCCGGUCCUUGCGGGCCUCCCGUGAGCGGUUCCUCACCACCUUACUGUGGAUGGCACAGCUGACGCAGUAGUGCAGCUUCACGUACAGCUUGGGCAGGACAUAGGAGUCGAAGACGCUGGCCUCCGAGAUGUCCCUGACGGCUGCAGCCUCCACGAUGUUCCUGAUGACGAACUUCUUGAUGGCUUUGUCCUUGGGGACGCAGCGGGCGCAGUUGGUGCAGCGGAUGGGCUGGACGUGGCCGCGGCCCUUCUUGGCCCGACCGUUGUUCCUCCUCUUCUUCGUCAUCGCGCUCCCGGGGGCGGCGGAAGAGGGCCCGGCCACGCGCCGCCGCCUUUAUAUAGCAGCGCUCCGCCCGGAAGUGGCUCCUGUGCCGCCCGGAAGUGGCCUCUGCGCCGUCCGCAGCGCCCCGCAGCGCCGUUCCGGGCCUUCAACGCGGCCCCGGUUUUGGGGUGGAGAGGAGCGGGGGUGGGGUCGGGUCCGGUGCUGGGAGGGUUGGGGGAGAGGGGAUCGGGACUACUUUUCCUGCGGGCGGCGGAGGGAUCCGCGCAGUGCGUGACGGUGAGGUGACUGCGUGCGUCGCGUGCGGCACGUGGUGCGUGUGCGCCGCGGGGGACGCUGGGAAAUGUAGUCCGGGGGGGGAGAAGAAGGCGGUAACGCGCGGCUCGGAGGGCAGCGCGGGGGUCCUGGGUCACGUGGCCUGCGCCCCCCCCCCCUCCCAAAGUAUCCUGAGCCCCAUCUGAAGUGCCCCUCAUCCCCUAAAGUACAUCCUGCACCCCCAAAAGGGUCCUACAGCCCCCCCAAAUCUGUCCGCCCCCAACCCUGGGGUGUCCCAUCCACCCCCCCC